CCACAGUCAAAAAGGAUCAUUUUGAAAGGUUAACAAGCACUUUAUUGCAAUUAUUCAUUUUGAUAAAGUUUAUUAUCUUAGAUAUUACCAUUUCUAAAGGAUCCCCAACUCAUCACUUAGGUGAAAUUUUUAAAUGACAUUUCUGAGAAAUGUUUAGAUCCAGUGAACCAUAGUAGGUUUAAGGGAGUGAUUUCAAGGUAGCCAAAUGAACUUUGACUUUUGUUUUGAAUGUGGUAGAGUCAAGGGAUUGUAGAUGCCUAGUUCCAUUUAGACACUAUUGUAAACCUAUCUUGCCUAUUGUGUGGACACCAAAAGAGACCAAUGAGCCUGUUUGUUUUCAGAGGUCUAGGAGAAUUGCAUCAGUGUGAAAUAGAUGUAUAGAACUAACCUAAAAGUGAUUGGUAGUCAUAUUUUAGAAUACAGUAAUUUCAAGAAUUCUGUUUUAAAUGUGCUCUGAAAUGUUGGCAUGUCAUUUCAGUGUUCCAUUUGAAUUGCUCUUGUAAUGUUUUUGCACAAAAAGAACUGAGAAAUACUACUUUGGUUGAAGAAAAGGAAAAAAAUAAUUUGGUCAUAUUUUAAUGUCUCCUGUGGAAACACUGGGGGGUGAAUUUUGUUGGUACAGUUAUUUUCAGGAUAUUUGAAACAGUAUUGAACAGCUCACAAAUUAAGCAACCGUGAAUGGAUUGAAAAAUUAAAACUCUUUCCAUGUGACUGUUUUGCAUACUUUAUCCCCAUGUCAUAAUUUAACACUACAUUCCUUGUUUUUCUUAAAUAAAAUAACUUUGCGGGUUCUGUUUUUGAGUAUUUAGCAAGUUAUUUUCUAAGCUGCCCUGGUUUUCCUAGGGAAAACGUUCUUAGGUGAAAUAGGAUAUAGUUUAUGAAAAGACAUUAAAUGAAAUCCCAUCACCACCACCAGCAAACACUGAGGUGCUGCAUUAAGUGACAAUCAAAAUAGUAUUUAUAGGAGAAUUGAGAAAAGGGUUUUUAAAGAAGCAGUUGCUUUGAAAGUAGUUGUCUGGGUUUCUUGAAUAAAAAUGGCUAAAUGGUGCCCCCAAGGCUCCCCUCCUGUUCUCAACUUAGUUAAGAAAAAGUAAAAGUAACGCCAACUGUUUUCUAGUUUCACUUGCUGCCUUUUCUAUUUAAUGGGCACUUUUUAUAUAACUUCCCCAACGCAGCCAAAGGCCAGUAUGACAGAACCCAUGGCACACGUUGCCUGUUUUGCCCAUUUGGAA
rnacentral:lncRNA from 1 species